UACGAAGGGGGCUAGCGUUGCUCGGAAUCACUGGGCCUAAAGGGUGCGUAGGCGGGUCUUUAAGUCAUGGGUGAAAUCCUGGAGCUCAACUCCAGAACUGCCUUUGAUACUGAAGAUCUUGAGUUCGGGAGAGGUGAGUGGAACUGCGAGUGUAGAGGUGAAAUUCGUAGAUAUUCGCAAGAACACCAGUGGCGAAGGCGGCUCACUGGCCCGAUACUGACGCUGAGGCACGAAAGCGUGGGGAGCAAACAGG
rnacentral:rRNA from 1 species